GUGCCAGCAGCCGCGGUAAUACGUAGGUGGCAAGCGUUAUCCGGAAUUAUUGGGCGUAAAGCGCGCGUAGGCGGUUUUUUAAGUCUGAUGUGAAAGCCCACGGCUCAACCGUGGAGGGUCAUUGGAAACUGGAAGACUUGAGUGCAGAAGAGGAAAGUGGAAUUCCAUGUGUAGCGGUGAAAUGCGCAGAGAUAUGGAGGAACACCAGUGGCGAAGGCGACUUUCUGGUCUGUAACUGACGCUGAUGUGCGAAAGCGUGGGGAUCAAACAGGAUUAGAU
rnacentral:rRNA from 1 species